GAGCCCAAUUUAGUUCAGUAAACAUUUUUAGUUGUAGCUUAUUGACACUAACUCUGAACAUGGAUUCAUGCGCAGGAGUCAAAUUUGUACAUGAAUUUAAUAUCAGUCCUUUUCAAGAAAAAAAAAAUUCAGCAAAUCUAGACAUUAGACUCAUGUUUGAAACAUGAGACAUCGCAGUGCAACAUCAAACAAGGAGACAUGGGCAGACUAUACAGCAAACUAACUAAAUCGCGGAGGAACUUCAGACGAACAACUCAUGAACUUGAGGAAGCUGUCCGUUGGGCUGGCGCGAAGAAGCAUAUUCAACGUGGAUGAGGCACACGCUUGUGAGUCUGAGACUGGAUGAAGGGCAAACAUUUGACUGUGAGUCUGAGACUUAAUGAAGGAUAAUUAGACAGCUUAGUUCGAUCGGUG